rnacentral:piRNA from 1 species
UAGAUGUGACUGGAUCCAGUUCUGAGCAU